UGGGGAAUUUUGGACAAUGGGCGAAAGCCUGAUCCAGCAAUGCCGCGUGUGUGAAGAAGGCCUUCGGGUUGUAAAGCACUUUUGUCCGGAAAGAAAUCCUUGGCUCUAAUACAGUCGGGGGAUGACGGUACCGGAAGAAUAAGCACCGGCUAACUACGUGCCAGCAGCCGCGGUAAUACGUAGGGUGCAAGCGUUAAUCGGAAUUACUGGGCGUAAAGCGUGCGCAGGCGGUUUGCUAAGACCGAUGUGAAAUCCCCGGGCUCAACCUGGGAACUGCAUUUGGUGACUGGCAGGCUAGAGUAUGGCAGAGGGGGGUAGAAUUCCACGUGUAGCAGUGAAAUGCGUAGAGAUGUGGAGGAAUACCGAUGGCGAAGGCAGCCCCCUGGGCCAAUACUGACGCUCAUGCACGAAAGCGUGGGGAGCAAACAGGAUUAGAUACCCUGGUAGUCCACGCCCUAAACGAUGUCAACUAGUUGUUGGGGAUUCAUUUCCUUAGUAACGUAGCUAACGCGUGAAGUUGACCGCCUGGGGAGUACGUCGCAAGAUUAAAACUCAAAUGGAAUUGACGGGGUCAUAGCUGUUUCCU
rnacentral:rRNA from 1 species